AGUAGUUUACACACACACACACCAGCUGCACCUGAGAACUGGAGGUGCCAAGACACAAAAACACUACUGCAGUAUCAGGAAGAAACAGGAUACGGAAGGCAGAAACUGAGAAAAACCCGAGGAAAGAAACAUUCAUCAGUAAACGCUUUCCAUCUUCAAAAGACUGAAAAUGGGCAAUGAUCACUCGGGUGAAAAUAGGCAGCGUAUGAGAGCUGAAACAGCUGAGGCGGAAAAGGGGAGAAUGCAGGAAGAAUUUAGAAGAAUGCAACACGAAGCAGAAUUACAGAGAGCGAGACAGGAGCAAAAAGCAGCGGAGGAACGAUGCACAAUCCAAGCAGAAAAACAAGCACUCCAAGAACAAUACCAAAGAGUUGAAAAUGAAAGAAAUAUACAGAGAAUGAGAGAAGAAGAGAAGAUAAGAAUCUACAAAGAGAACAGAUUUAAAGAGGAAGAAGAAAGGAAAAGAAUUCACAUAGAGAAGCAAAAUGCACAACAUGAAAACAAGACAGUUAGUUAAACUGUUUCUAUGGUUUAUUAACAGAGAUAUUUUCAUCAUACAGAAAGAUAGGUGCACAUCACCUAAAACAUUGUGAAGAUUUUUCUUCUUCCAUAUGUCUACUGUAAAGCACUCGGUAAACUUUUUGUUUUAAAAGAUGCCAUCAAAAUAAAGUUCUACAUCUUAUUUUCACCACCA